CACCCAUGUGCCUGGAUUCAGUGUUGCUGUCACACCGUCACGUGUCCCUGGGCAGACACCUGCACCCAAGAGUGCUUCCAGGAGUGCCGUUGACAUGGUAGCAUUUCUAAAGUUGGGUCUCCACCCAUGUUCACGGCAGCCUGGCACACAGCGUGCUUCGGAGGAAGCACCUCCAGCCAUGUCCUGUGAGACCAGCAGAAGUCGAUCGGAGUGUGCUCUGAACCUGGAUGAGGGUACAGCAUUUGGUAGGUGCUACCCGUUCAGUAAAUAGGUUAGUAAUUGUGGAAAAGUAAUGCAUGCUUAUGGUAAACACUGCAGGAAGUUUCAAAGAAAAUCCAAAUCACCUUUAUUCCUGCCACCUGUUUAUAUUCCGAGGCCUUGAAGACCCUCGGUUAUCAAUGUGGACACAAGGGCAGUGGUGUGCUGUGCACCUCAUUCCUGCUGGGUCUCCAUGGGGUGGAGGGUGCUAGCCUGCAGAGCUCUGGCCGGGAAGGAUGUCCAGGAGUCAGUCCUCUGUCCUGCUUCAGCUUGUCUGAGCUGAGCCGUCCCGGGCCUGAGGGAAGCAUCCUGACUGAUACAGUGAAUCUGGGAAAGGAUUUUACAAGCUGGGACUUUGAUGUAUUGCUAUGCCAUUGCCCCCCGCUCUGGUUAUAAGCAAGCAUGUAUUUAUUGAGGAGAGUUUUGAAAAUAGAAUACACAAUGAAAAACUCAUCUUUAAUAUCACCCACUGUCCAAAGAUAAUUCCUAUCAGCAUUUUAUUCUAUAUUUCUAUCAUCUGUAGUUACUUAUCUCUUGCCAUGUCAUUUAUUUAUUUAUUUAUUUAUUUAUUUUAUUUAUUUAUCGUUUUGCCAUGUCAUUUAAAUAUAUCUGGCUCCUUAAUCUUUUGGGGCAUAUUUAGGGCCAUUGUUUAUCAAACCAUCCAAACAAUUGUUGCUUCUAGCUUUCUUGUUAUUAUAAACACCCAUGGGUUGGACAUCCCUGUACCUACAUCUUUGGGCACAUAUGUGAUAAUGUUUGUUUAUUUUUUUUAGGGUUCGUGAUAAUGUUUUUAAGGUAGCAGUGAAUCCCUUGAUUAAAGUGUAUGAACAGUUUGUGUGAACCUUACAAGAAAGAGCUGAAGGGAUUAAAAGCGGCUCUGUCUGGCAAGCUUUCCCCCUGGUAUGGGCAGCAGUGGGGCAGAGGAAUGCUGUUUUCUUUACAAGCACUGUGUCUGACUUUUCCUUUGGACCAAGUCGGUAUACCAGUGGGAUAAACAUUGCAUUGUGAGAAUUAUCUGCUUUCCCCAAAUAAAGCACAAUUACAUACUAAAAAAAAGGUGCAUGGGCAUUUUAUUUUAUUUAUAUUUUUUUUGCAUGGGCAUUUUAAAAGAAUAUAUAUUAUACACC
rnacentral:lncRNA from 1 species